rnacentral:rRNA from 1 species
AGUGAACGCUGGCGGUAGGCCUAACACAUGCAAGUCGAACGGCAGCACAGUAAGAGCUUGCUCUUACGGGUGGCGAGUGGCGGACGGGUGAGGAAUACAUCGGAAUCUACUUUUUCGUGGGGGAUAACGUAGGGAAACUUACGCUAAUACCGCAUACUACCUACGGGUGAAAGCAGGGGAUCUUCGGACCUUGCGCGAUUGAAUGAGCCGAUGUCGGAUUAGCUAGUUGGCGGGGUAAAGGCCCACCAAGGCGACGAUCCGUAGCUGGUCUGAGAGGAUGAUCAGCCACACUGGAACUGGGACACGGUCCAGACGCCUACGGGAGGCAGCAGUGGAGAAUAUUGGACAAUGGGGGCAAGCCUGAUCCAGCCAUACCGCGUGAGUGAAGAAGGCUUUCGGGUUGUAAAGCCCUGUUGUUGGGAAAGAAAAGCAGCAGGUUAAUACCCCGCUGUUCUGACGGUACCCAAAGAAUAAGCACCGGCUAACUUCGUG